rnacentral:sRNA from 1 species
GCUGGGCAUGGUGGCCCUCUCCUGUAAUCCCAGAAACUUGGGAGGCUGAUGCAGGAGGACCACAAGUUCAAGGCCAGCCUCAGCAACUUAGUGAGACCCUGAACAACUCAGUGAGACCCUGUCUCAU